AUUGAACGCCGGCGGCAUGCCUUACACAUGCAAGUCGAACGGCAGCACGGGUGCUUGCACCUGGUGGCGAGUGGCGAACGAGUGAGUAGUACAUCGGAACGUACCUUAUCGUGGGGGAUAACGCAGCGAAAGCUGUGCUAAUACCGCAUACGCCCUGAGGGGGAAAGCGGGGGAUCGCAAGACCUCGCGCGAUUAGAGCGGCCGAUGCCCGAUUAGCUUGUUGGUGGGGUAAAAGCCCACCAAGGCGACGAUCAGUAGCUGGUCUGAGAGGACGAUCAGCCACACUGGGACUGAGACACGGCCCAGACUCCUACGGGAGGCAGCAGUGGGGAAUUUUGGACAAUGGGGCAACCCUGAUCCAGCAAUGCCGCGUGAGUGAAGAAGGCCUUCGGGUUGUAAAGCUCUUUUGUCAGGGAAGAAACACCGGCUCUAACACAGUCCGGGAAUGACGGUACCUGAAGAAUAAGCACCGGCUAACUACGUGCCAGCCGCCGCCGUAA
rnacentral:rRNA from 1 species